rnacentral:rRNA from 1 species
UACGAAGGGGGCUAGCGUUGUCCGGAUUUAUUGGGCGUAAAGAGCUCGUAGGCGGUCUGUCGCGUCGGAUGUGAAAACCCAGGGCUCAACCCUGGGCCUGCAUUCGAUACGGGCAGACUAGAGUACGGCAGGGGAGACUGGAAUUCCUGGUGUAGCGGUGAAAUGCGCAGAUAUCAGGAGGAACACCGGUGGCGAAGGCGGAUCUCUGGGCCGAUACUGACGCUGAGGAGCGAAAGCGUGGGGAGCGAACAGG